UAUGGGCCCGGCCGAGCCCGAGCUCGAGGGCGGUGACCCGAUCACUGAGGUCCCGGAGGCACAGCUCCGUGUCCGCCCGCUCGCGGAGCCUCUUGAACGAGGCGACGGCAGAGCGCUCGAAGCCGAAGGGGUCAGCGGCGGCGAGGAGGUCGAGGGGGGCGGUCAAGGGGGAUGGGAGGAGGCAUUGUGAUGGAAGAUCGACAGGUGGGAACGGUGAGGGGUUAAGCAGGUCAAGGGCGAAGUCUAGGGAGCGAUGGUGGUGAUGGACCUCGUCCACCAGCGCCAGCGGUCGCGACAAGGGAGAGGUGAAGGUGGAGAGUGAGGAUUCGAGGUAGUCGAAGGAAGGGAGGAGGGGGUCGAAGAGAUCAAACGGGUGGA
rnacentral:lncRNA from 1 species